ACACCUCAACUCUCCCGGUUUGCCGUGAUGAGCUUGGACUUUUGGGGGUUUUGCUGGCCUACGGUCGGCUCCUCUGAAACGGAUCAGCUUGCCAGUGUUUGGCGGCGUCACGGGUGUGAUAACUAUCUACGCUUGUGAUUGCUUGCUGAGCAACCUCUGGAGACGGAGGUUCGCUGGAGCUUAUAAAUGUCUCUCCUCAGCGAAGACAGCUUUUUGACC
rnacentral:misc_RNA from 2 species